rnacentral:rRNA from 1 species
UAAUACGGAGGAUCCGAGCGUUAUCCGGAUUUAUUGGGUUUAAAGGGUGCGUAGGCGGCCUAUUAAGUCAGGGGUGAAAGACGGUAGCUUAACUAUCGCAGUGCCUUUGAUACUGAUGGGCUUGAAUGUAGUUGAGGCAGGCGGAAUGUGACAAGUAGCGGUGAAAUGCAUAGAUAUGUCACAGAACACCAAUUGCGAAGGCAGCUUGCUAAACUAUGAUUGACGCUGAGGCACGAAAGCGUGGGGAUCAAACAGGAUUAGAUACCCUGGUAGUCCACGCCCUAAACGAUGAAUACUCGAUGUUAGCGAUAUACAGUUAGCGUCAAAGCGAAAGCGUUAAGUAUUCCACCUGGGGAGUACGCCCGCAAGGGUG